UACGAAGGGGCAAGCGUUGUUCGGAUUUACUGGGCGUAAAGGGCGCGUAGGCGGCCACCGCAAGUCAGUUGUGAAAUCUCUGGGCUUAACCCAGAAAGGUCAACUGAUACUGCGGGGCUAGAGUGCAGAAGGGGCAACUGGAAUUCUCGGUGUAGCGGUGAAAUGCGUAGAUAUCGAGAGGAACACCUGCGGCGAAGGCGGCGACCUGGGUAGAUACUGACGCUGAGGCGCGAAAGCGUGGGGAGCAAACAGG
rnacentral:rRNA from 1 species